GAUGAACGCUGGCGGCGUGCCUAAUACAUGCAAGUCGAGCGAACAGACGAGGAGCUUGCUCCUCUGACGUUAGCGGCGGACGGGUGAGUAACACGUGGAUAACCUACCUAUAAGACUGGGAUAACUUCGGGAAACCGGAGCCAAUACCGGAUAAUAUGUUGAAUCGCAUGGUUCAACAGUGAAAGACGGUCUUGCUGUCACUUAUAGAUGGAUCCGCGCCGCAUUAGCUAGUUGGUAAGGUAACGGCUUACCAAGGCAACGAUGCGUAGCCGACCUGAGAGGGUGAUCGGCCACACUGGAACUGAGACACGGUCCAGACUCCUACGGGAGGCAGCAGUAGGGAAUCUUCCGCAAUGGGCGAAAGCCUGACGGAGCAACGCCGCGUGAGUGAAGAAGGUCUUCGGAUCGUAAAACUCUGUUAUUAGGGAAGAACAAAUGUGUAAGUAACUAUGCACGUCUUGACGGUACCUAAUCAGAAAGCCACGGCUAACUACGUG
rnacentral:rRNA from 1 species